ensembl:lncRNA
CAUCCUCAAGGUAACACACACACACACACACACUGCUACAUCAUCCUCAAGGUAACACACACACACACACACACACACACACUGCUACAUCAUCCUCAAGGUAACACACACACACACACACACACACACACACACACACACACACACACACACACACACUGCUACAUCAUCCUCAAGGUAACACACACACACACACACACACUGCUACAUCAUCCUCAAGGUAACACACACACACACACACACACUGCUAC